rnacentral:rRNA from 1 species
AUGAGGGCGCCAUGGUGGUCUAGCAGCAGCAACAACAACAAGGGCGUCGAGGCCCAUGGGCGCAGAGGAGAAGGAGAGGAGGUGGGUCCAGAGGCGAGAACCCAUGGCGGGGGCGAGCGAGUGCCUCAUCCUCUGCUUGCACGUAGCAGAGGCGCUGCUGGAAGUCCAAAACGGCAAAACGGCUACGGGAUCCGACCAGGAAGGGCGUGGCCGGAGGAGGAGGCAGCGGUAGCAGGGCGCGGCGGCUGUACGGAUGGAGCUAUGCGAGCGGCGGGGCGGCGAUGCGACCGGGCGGCAGCUCGGUCGACAGAGGGAGCUGGGAAUGCGGCAGACGAUGGCGGCGGCCUGCGAGACGAGACGGUAGCUGCGAGGCGUUGA